rnacentral:rRNA from 1 species
GACGAACGCUGGCGGUGUGCUUAACACAUGCAAGUGGUGCGACGAACCAGAGCUUGCUCUGGGGCAAAGCCGCGAACGGGUGAGUAACACGUGGGUAAUCUACCCCGAUGACCGGGACAACCCGAGGAAACUCGGGCUAAUACCGGAUGUGGUGCGGAGACAUAAGUCUCUUCACUAAAGGUAGCUUCGGCUUCCGCAUUGGGAGGGGCCUGCGGCCCAUUAGCUUGUUGGUGGGGUCAAGGCCUACCAAGGCAACGAUGGGUAGCUGGUCUGAGAGGACGAUCAGCCACACUGGGACUGAGACACGGCCCAGACUCCUACGGGAGGCAGCAGUGGGGAAUCUUGCGCAAUGCGCGAAAGCGUGACGCAGCAACACCGCGUGAGGGAAGAAGGCCUUAGGGUUGUAAACCUCUUUCAGAUGGGACGAAGGUUCUCCGGUGAAUAGCCGAGAGGAUUGACGGUACCGGCAGAAGAAGCUCCGGCUAACUACGUG